UUAAAAUGCCCGUCAAGCACAAAGACGUUUGUGGCGUGUUACGUGGCCGGUGCAAUGAGCUCCAAUGCGAUUGCAAGCAAUAUAUGGUGGUGUGCGCCUUCGACGAUGCCGAGGUUCGCAUUCGAUGCGACUAUUGUGACCACAGUCCCAGCGCCCACAACAGGAUUGCUUAUCUCGAGUGUUUUCAUACGGGGGCUUUCUCUGCAAAGAAAAAUGCAGCGGCACCAACAGAAAAGAAGUAAUACUGCUCUCUUGGAGGAAUCCAGGCCAGAACUAACAAAAGAGGUGGCAUUGGCAGAGUUGCAGUUAUUGGCUUCGAACAGCUUAAAAGGGGCCACAAUCAACUACGAAAGGGUUUUGUGCCUCUUGAGAGCCACAUACCAAGACCGCUGCC